UUUCUCACUAUAAUUUGAUGUAAAAUUAUCUCAUAUUUGACUGGUAAAUUAGUAUCGGAUGGUAUUUUAUCUACAGUAUAUUGGCAAGAUAUCCAUCCAGGAUUUUAAAACACUGAUCACCAGCUAGCAAAUUAAGGUGUGACACACUGCCUGCUACUUCCUGCUAAGUGGAGGUUUAUGAUUGGCUGAAUAAGUCCAGGAAGAAAGGAGGAAAAUUAUCAAAAGUGAAGAAAGCAUGCCACAUCUCACCAAGCUUAAUUGUGUAAAAUUCAAUGGCAUUCCACCAAGAUUGCUGAUGAGUUCUGCAGACUUAGCUGAGACUUUUGGACAGAUGCAGCAUUGUAGGAACAUGUGGUCAUUCUUACCACUACCUCGGUUUGGUAAUAACUUAAACCACCGCUUGAACUCUCCUGCUCCCGGAAGCGAUGCAUAAAUUAAGGAUUAGUAAAAGUGAGAAUACCACCAGUGGAUCAUAAUGUAGUAAAGACGUGGAUGUAUGCAAUGCAGUCCAGGACUGAAAUCCAUGGUCAGUAGAUCCCUUAUGCUGUCUGGGAGAUCUUUAACUGUGCUGCCUGGAAGAUCUCCAACCACAGUAUGAGAUCUUUAACUACAGUAUGCUGUCUGGGAGAUCUGAGAUCUCUAACCGCAGUAUGAUGUCUGGGAGAUCUCUAACUGCAGUAUGCUGCCUGGGAGGUCUCUAUGGACACAUUCCGCGAGGGACUUGGAAGAUAUUGAAAAGGGCCUUGGUUGAUGUAUCCUUGUUUUGUAGGCCAUAGUUGUUGCUCACCUUGGCAAGUUUAUUACAACCAGAGGAUGCAUCAUGAGUCACAAUGCUAUGAUAAGACCAAUUGUUUGUGAGAAAAUUGAAUCACACAAAGUUUGAAGAGGAAUUCCUAACAGUGCAUGUCAUAAAAUUUGAUUUAGCCACUUUGAUAUUUCCACUAAGUGUGCCAAUAACUUAAUAACUGGGAUUCUAGGUUAGCUUCAAGAUCAUGAAGACUACAUUCUAAAAUGUGCAGAAGUGAUAGAAUGUGUAGGCCUAUAAAACAGCCAUAUUGACCAAUAUAUACUUUUCCUUGGCAUUUACAUUGCACACCGUUAUUGCACCAUUGUUUUAAAACCAUUGAAUUGCCUCUAUACUUUUGAGCUUCUAUAUUUAUUAUUUUUUCACUUUUUUUUUCUGGGUAUAGUAUUCUAAAUGCAAAUUCGGCAUUGUUUUUAUUGUAGUUCAAAUCAGAUAACUAAAAAUCUAUGUUUAUAAAGCAUGUAAAACUUGAUUCUAUACACUACACCACCAUACAGGUCGUUUUUAAUGAUGAUCCACGACUGCCACCGACAAUCAGCUUCAUUGCAGUAGUAAAUUCACCUGUUACAAAUGAUCCGUGCACAAGAUGAAGAAAUAUGAAAUUUGUAUGUUGUGCGUAUAAGGCGAUUCUGUUUUUCAAUUGUAAUUUGCUAUUUUAUUCCUCGUCAAGAGUAUUUAUGGUAUUACUCUUAUUAUUAUUAAUAUUAUUAUUUUUAUUAUUAUUAUUAUAAAAUAAAGGAAGGUCAUGAUAAAGUAUAUCAUUUUGUACUAGCAUAGGGUAAUGAAAUUCUACUAUUGAAAUUUUACCAUAACUGUAGUAAAAGUUGUACAAUUAAGGUAAUAAACUAUAAUAAUAUUUAUACAAUUGAGUUAAUUUCUGCUGUAAAUUAUUGUUAUGUUUAAGUACUAUAAUACAAUAUGUUAAAAUUUGGUAAACUGUAUGGUUCUUUCUUGGUUUUGCCAAUAAACUUGUUAAUUACCUGAAUCAAAUGAAUGAGUGUCCCUUUCAUGGUGUGUUAACAAAGUUGUUUUUUCAUUUGCUGUAUUCAGUGGCAAUAUCUAGGAGUCUUGAAAUGAGGGGGUAGUGAGGCGUGAAUGUGAAGUAGGGGGACCCAAGGAUUAAAUAAAGGGGGUGCUUGCUCGCAAAAUAAGGUGAUAUUAGAUGAUUUUAAACUUUUGAAUAUUUCUGAGGGGUGGAAAGCUUUUUAAGGAAGGCUAAAACCAUGCCCCCACACACCCCUAGAUAUCCCACUGGCUGUAUAUAAUAUCAAUUGAUUUUUGUUAUAACCAGACUUUUCUCUAGUGAGGCAUAAAAGCAGUCGAUGUAGGCCAACAAUCACUCCAUAAUCAUUGUAAGCUAUGUACUAGUAUGUCUUUAAUUAAGAAAAUGAAUUUCAGGCACAUGGCUUUUAUGUGACUUUGUUACCAUGACAAUACUUUUAAGAGGUUCCAAGAAAAU